AACGUAGGACACGAGCGUUAUCCGGAGUUACUGGGCGUAAAGGGCGGGUAGGUGGUGCGAUAAGACUGGUGUGAAAGCCUUCGGCUUAACCGAGGGAGGACACUGGUGACUGUCGGACUUGAGGCAGAUAGAGGGGUGUAGAAUUCCGGGUGUAGUGGUGAAAUGCGUAGAGAUCCGGAGGAACACCAGUGGCGAAGGCGACACGCUGGGCCAUACCUGACGCUAAAGCGCGACAGCAUGGGGAGCAAACGGG
rnacentral:rRNA from 1 species